CUUAAAAUGACAGCGUGUGCAGAGAGGCCAUGUUAAUUUCUGUCAUUUCACUAAAAAGUUGCUUUCCAUUUUUUUUAGCCAUUCUACAUCAUAUAACUUUAGUGGGAUCAAUUAUCUCACCAACUUCUCUGAGCAACUUUAAUGCAACAGCAGGAAAACAUGGAUUUAUCUUCAAAAACACUGAUAUUGAUUCUUGAUUCAAGGUAUUUUAACCUACAUUUUGUGGGAACAAAUAGCAUCUGAUUGAUUACUCCCCACAUAUUGACCCCGAUCUGGAGUGUUUGCUCAGUGACUGGUCUCAGCAUUCUGAAUUCAUGGAGGAGUUGUUUGCUCACUUGAUGGAUGCCAGGCCGGUGAGCAGGAGGAAAGCUUCAAUAAAUCAUUUCUGACAUUAACCUUGGAGAAACAAAUUCCCAAGAGUGUUUGUGUUAGUUCUGCUGACUGUGCUUGUGCAAACACUGAAGAACAGAAUUCACACUGCUAUUUCUCUGUGACUAGUUUACCUAACAAAAGUUCAUAGUAGGCAUUUCCAGACAAGUCAAUGGGACAGGCAUGGAAGAAGCAAAAUGCACUUCCUUUAUUCAAACAACCACAAACAUGUCAUCAUCAAACACAUGCAAAACUUGCAAGGCAGAUUUUGGUUUUCAGAAAAGAAGAAAAGAAAGCAUGUACCAGAUUCAGCGAUGAAAUAUCAUUUUACUCGUGCAAGUGGUUCUUCCCACAUCACAAGACUCAGAGUUCCUGGAAACAAGUUAUUUGUACUCAGUAGAAAGGGGAAACAACUGACCAAAAUGUGAGAAACCAGCAUGUGGGCUCUGCAGACCACACUGCCCACUAACCUGCUGUUGCUCAUUCAUCCAGGCAGUGGCAGUGAGAUGGAAGGGACUGGAGUUUUCCCUCCUGGAGAAAACAUGCUCUCUGAGUCUGUAGCCCCCAUCCAUCAGCAGAGCCAGGGCAAUCCAGGGCCACCACCCAGCACACCAGGUGGGAUUCCUGCUGAGGACAGGUCUGCAGGUCUGACAGCGGGAGAAACCUCCCACUUACACCCUGGAGAUUGAAUUUCACAGUGAUGAACAGCAAAAUUCCCUCCUAUCCCUGACUCAAUCUUUUUUCCACCCUGUGCACAGGGAGUGUGCUCAUCAAAUCAGUAUUAUAUAUGUAUUCAGUUUAGCAUAAUUCACACCCCAUUUGUCCUUGCACUAAAUGAAGUACAAUCAACCAGGAAUUGCGUAUAACCAACACAUCUGCUGCCCAGUUAGUUACAUGUAAUCAGUGCUGUCAUACAGGUAGGCAAAGAGCUACACAUUUCUCUAAUUCCUAAGGUGCUCAGACUUUUAUUAUGUGCUGUAAAUGUUCCAUUUGGUGGACUGAGCAGAAAGCUGGAG
ensembl:lncRNA